rnacentral:misc_RNA from 1 species
UGUAAUGGGCCGUGUGCACACCUGUGCAGACCCCUGCCUGGGCAUUGGCGGUGGCCGAUAUGUGAGUUGCCUGCUACUGUGUGUGUGAUACCUGGGUCGGUCCCUGCCCAGGUCAGGGACUGCCUGAGGGGACGACCCUCCUGUCGUCCCCACCACCGUGCUACAAUACAGUCAGUCGGAACCGAGCGGUGGUGUGUCGAUGGUGGGCCGCGAGACAUAACAUUGGCGACGAGCGGAGUGAGGACGGAGCCAUGCCGUUGGGGAAGAUUGAAGAAUUUCACCAAGGACAAGAUAACUGGGAAGAGUAUGCGGAAAGGUUGGAUCAAUUCUUCGUGGCUAAUGACAUCCAGGACGAUGCUAAGAAGAGGGCCAUUCUCCUCAGCAGUAUGGGAGCUCGGACAUACGGUACGGUAAGAUCGCUGUUGUCACCGAAAAAAACAAAUGAGGUGACGUAUGUCAUGAUUGUUGAAACAUUGAGCAAGCAAUUUUGUCCGCCCACAUCGGUAACUGUCGCAAGAUAUCGGUUCUUUUCCUGUUGUCGAGUACAGUCAGAGUCUGUUCAGGAGUUUGUGGCGCGCCUGCGACAGCUGUCACGGGACUGCAAAUUCGAAUCGUUUCUUGAUCAAAUGAUCAGAGACCGGCUGGUGUGUGGAGUUAACUCUGACCCCAUUCAGCGCAGGUUGCUGGCAGAAGCUGAGCUGACUUUGCCGCAGGCAAUCAAGAUUGCUGUGGCAACGGAAACAGCAGGUCAAAACCUACAGGAGCUGGCGGGAGCUGGCCAGCCGGUGGUGUCCGCUACGGGGGAGACGGCAGUGAACCGUGUCCGGACGGGCCCGUCAGCCUCACAGCGGACCAGCCAGGAGCGACACAACGCCAGUAAGCAAGCGCGGCAUGAAGGUGAGAGAUGCUGGCGCUGUUUGAACAGAACGCACUCUGAAUCCGAAUGCUACUUUAAACGUAAGCGCUGCUUCCAGUGUUCCAAGUACGGGCAUACAUCGGCCGCUCACCGGGCAGGGACGGUGAAACAUGUUGGGUCGGAGGUGGUCCGUCAGGAGGAGGGCGAUGGUGCAGGAUCUGGGGAAGAGCAGAGGGUGAUGGAGGCAGACACUGAAGAAUGUGACUUUAUCGGGGAGGUUUUUCAGUGUCGGGAGCGGAUUCAUGUGGUGAAGAGCCGGCCUCCGAUCAUGCUGGACAUGUCGCUGGAUGGGCGUGAUGUCAGGAUGGAGCUUGACACGGGUGCAUCUGUAUCCGUCUGUUCGUUCAGCAGGUUUCAAGAGCUCUGGCCGGAGAAGAAACGCCGUCUGCAGCCGUGCAGCCUCAUCCUACACACCUUCUCAGGCGAGCCUCUGAAGGUCCGAGGUGAGGUACAGAUGGACGUGGUGUACCGCGGAGAGUCGUUUAGCCUGCCCCUGGUAGUAGUUGAUGGGACAGGGCCGCUGCUCUUCGGCAGGAACUGGUUGGAGAGCAUCAGACUGGACUGGAGAACCAUCUGCAUGGUGACGACGCAGACGCUGGGAAGCGGAGUUGAGUCUGUGCUGCAUAAGCACUCUGAUGUGUUUGCGGAUGAGUUGGGAUGUGCGAAGGGGAUUGUGGUAGAUAUCCCGAUUGACCCAGACACACGUCCCAUCUUCUACAAGCCCAGGCCGGUACCGCUGGCGUACCGUGCUGCUGUCGACGCCGAGCUGGACCGUCAGAUCCAGGCCGGGCUGCUGGAACCGGUGAAACACUGCACGUGGGCUGCACCGAUCGUCACUGCACUGAAGGCGUCAGCAGGAUCCGAACAGGAACAUCUGCAGCGGCUGGAGGAGGUUCUGAGACGUCUGUCGGAGGCAGGACUGCGACUGCAGCGGAAGAAGUGUCAGUUCGCGGCAUCAGAAGUGGUGUAUCUGGGACACCACAUCACGGCAGAUGGUAUCAAACCAACAGCAGACAAGGAUCGCCCCAGCUGCCCGUUCCAGCUGAGACGGUGCACCUGAUGCAGUUCUUCGACUCGUCACCGGUCACCGCUGAGUCCAUCCGUCUGUUCACCGCCAGGGAUCCUGUGCUGAGUGCCGUUCUGCGCUUCACCAGAGAGGGCUGGCCAUCGGGCGACCUCGUGAUGCCAGAGCUGGUACAGUACCGAAGCAAGGAAGGUCUCCGGACUGGCCGGCGUCGGACGGGGAACACGCUGGCUCCCGG